AGCAGACGGCGCAACCGUCUUUUCGCUCACGUUGCGAAACCGUCAUGGCGCCUUCCCGAUAUCGCGAUACAAGUGCAAUGAGUUAAGAGGCUCCGGCGAUUGCACCAAGAUCGCGAUCAAGUUCCAAAAUUGAAAAGUAAGAAUAAAAUCAUCCCCGAUCAGCCGCGCGCGCCGCAAGAUUACGUAACGGACACACCUUAACAGCCGCAAGAUGCCCGUGGUACCCGGAGGAGCCUAUCAACAAGGACCCUCUUGCUUCGAUAGAAUGAAAUUAGGCUUCACAAUUGGAUUUUGCGUGGGGAUGGCCUCCGGUGCGCUCUUCGGAGGAUUUUCCGCUCUUAGAUAUGGACUGAGAGGAAGGGAAUUGCUAAACAGCGUCGGCAAGGUGAUGCUUCAGGGUGGCGGCACAUUCGGAACGUUUAUGGCUAUCGGCACGGGGAUACGAUGCUAGUGCGUGGGCGGAGCUACGUUACGGAGUAUCUCGCAGCCCCUCUUUUUUUUCUGUUGCAACUGUUUGUAUUGAUUCGUUUUCCCCGGGAUGUUGAGCCCGAAACUCAAGUGUCUGAUAUUGUGCGUCAUAUUGAAGUGGGACGAAGUGUAAGGUUGAACGUCG